rnacentral:misc_RNA from 1 species
CAACUUCCACCUGGCUUACCUCCUCAGUUACACGUCAUGGGUUCUAUCUCCUUGUACGUGUUUUGGGUUUCCUGUGUUGAUUUCCAAUUUGAUGGCAAUGUUUUGGCUAUUUGAAGUCCCUUUUCAUCUUGUGUUGCCUAUGUUUUUCAAGAUGAACCAUGAAGUGUUCUCUUUGUUCCACUAAGUUGAUGCAAAUGCAUUGAUGUUGUGGCCCAUUGAGCGUUGCUAGGUGUCCUGAAUAUGGAACAUUACGUGGGCAUGGGGUCCUUUAUGGCUCUAGUUUUGUCCUUGUUGAGUGUUCUUCAAAACGACAGUUCAUGCGCCUAGGCUCGUACCUGUGUCAUGAUCUUUGUCAAAGAGGAAUGCUACCUGGUUGAUCCUGCCAGUAGUCAUAUGCUUGUCUCAAAGAUUAAGCCAUGC